rnacentral:rRNA from 1 species
CCUACGGGUGGCAGCAGUGAGGAAUAUUGGUCAAUGGACGCGAGCCUGAACCAGCCAAGUAGCGUGAAGGAUGACUGCCCUAUGGGUUGUAAACUUCUUUUAUAUGGGAAUAAAAUGUUCUAUGUGUGGGAUUUUGUAUGUACCUUAUGAAUAAGGAUCGGCUAACUCCGUGCCAGCAGCCGCGGUAAUACGGAGGAUCCGAGCGUUAUCCGGAUUUAUUGUGUUUAAAGGGAGCGUAGGUGGAUUGUUAAGUCAGUUGUGAAAGUUUGCGGCUCAACCGUAAAAUUGCAGUUGAGACUGGCAGUCUAGAGUACAGUAGAGGUAGGCGGAAUUCGUGGUGUAGCGGUGAAAUGCUUAGAUAUCACGAAGAACUCCGAUUGCGAAGGCAGCUCACUGGACUGCAACUGACACUGAGGCUCGAAAGUGUGGGUAUCAAACAGGAUUAGAUACCCUAGUAGUC